AAGACACAAAGGUUGAGUGCUUAGUUGGAUGUUUUCCCAUCAGUAACAAUCAUCUGAUAUUUUGACAAGCAAAAUGCCACUCUGGCUAAACUUCAUGUCCUUGUUAGUUGUCCUCAGAGGUGUCCAAUCUGAGGUUCAGUUAGUGGAGUCUGGAGGGGAUGUGAGAAGACCUGGAGAGACCCUCCGUCUCUCCUGCCAAGGAUCUGGAUUCACCUUCAGCAACUUCUGGAUGAGCUGGGUGAGACAAGCUCCAGGAAAGGCACUGGAAUGGAUUGCAACAAUAAAAUACGAUGCAGGAGAAAUCUACUACUCUGACAAAGUGAAGGGACGCUUCACCAUCUCCAGAGACAAUGCCAAAAGCCAGCUGUAUCUUCAAAUGAGCAGCCUCAAAGCUGAAGACACGGCAAUCUAUUACUGUGCGAGAGACACAAUAAGAGGAAGUAAAUCUAAAUGGUCUCAUGUCAAGACUAACUCCUCAAGAAGUGACUGUUCUCUCCUCAAAACCAUGGAUGAAGUCACUGUUAUUUUGGGGAGAAGGCCAGAAGGUGACAUAUUCAAGUCUCCCAAAUAA